rnacentral:rRNA from 1 species
UACGUAGGGGGCUAGCGUUGUCCGGAAUCAUUGGGCGUAAAGGGCGUGUAGGCGGCCCGGUAAGUCCGCUGUGAAAGUCGGGGGCUCAACCCUCGAAUGCCGGUGGAUACUGUCGGGCUAGAGUGCGGAAGAGGCGAGUGGAAUUCCUGGUGUAGCGGUGAAAUGCGCAGAUAUCAGGAGGAACACCGAUUGCGAAGGCAGCUCGCUGGGACGUAACUGACGCUGAGACGCGAAAGCGUGGGUAGCAAACAGG